rnacentral:rRNA from 1 species
GAUGAACGCUAUUUACAGGCUUAACACAUGCAAGUCGAGGGGCAUCAGGAAGAAAGCUUGCUUUCUUUGCUGGCGACCGGCGCACGGGUGAGUAACACGUAUCCAACCUGCCCUUUACUCGGGGAUAGCCUUUCGAAAGAAAGAUUAAUACCCGAUGGCAUAAUGAUUCCGCAUGGUUUCAUUAUUAAAGGAUUCCGGUAAAGGAUGGGGAUGCGUUCCAUUAGGUUGUUGGUGAGGUAACGGCUCACCAAGCCUUCGAUGGAUAGGGGUUCUGAGAGGAAGGUCCCCCACAUUGGAACUGAGACACGGUCCAAACUCCUACGGGAGGCAGCAGUGAGGAAUAUUGGUCAAUGGGCGCUAGCCUGAACCAGCCAAGUAGCGUGAAGGAUGAAGGCUCUAUGGGUCGUAAACUUCUUUUAUAUAAGAAUAAAGUGCAGUAUGUAUACUGUUUUGUAUGUAUUAUAUGAAUAAGGAUCGGCUAACUCCGUGCCAGCAGCCGCGGUAAUACGGAGGAUCCGAGCGUUAUCCGGAUUUAUUGGGUUUAAAGGGAGCGUAGGUGGACUGGUAAGUCAGUUGUGAAAGUUUGCGGCUCAACCGUAAAAUUGCAGUUGAUACUGUCAGUCUUGAGUACAGUAGAGGUGGGCGGAAUUCGUGGUGUAGCGGUGAAAUGCUUAGAUAUCACGAAGAACUCCGAUUGCGAAGGCAGCUCACUGGACUGCAACUGACACUGAUGCUCGAAAGUGUGGGUAUCAAACAGGAUUAGAUACCCUGGUAGUCCACACAGUAAACGAUGAAUACUCGCUGUUUGCGAUAUACAGUAAGCGGCCAAGCGAAAGCAUUAAGUAUUCCACCUGGGGAGUACGCCGGCAACGGUGAAACUCAAAGGAAUUGACGGGGGCCCGCACAAGCGGAGGAACAUGUGGUUUAAUUCGAUGAUACGCGAGGAACCUUACCCGGGCUUAAAUUGCAGUGGAAUGAUGUGGAAACAUGUCAGUGAGCAAUCACCGCUGUGAAGGUGCUGCAUGGUUGUCGUCAGCUCGUGCCGUGAGGUGUCGGCUUAAGUGCCAUAACGAGCGCAACCCUUAUCUUUAGUUACUAACAGGUUAUGCUGAGGACUCUAGAGAGACUGCCGUCGUAAGAUGUGAGGAAGGUGGGGAUGACGUCAAAUCAGCACGGCCCUUACGUCCGGGGCUACACACGUGUUACAAUGGGGGGUACAGAAGGCAGCUAGCGGGUGACCGUAUGCUAAUCCCAAAAGCCUCUCUCAGUUCGGAUCGAAGUCUGCAACCCGACUUCGUGAAGCUGGAUUCGCUAGUAAUCGCGCAUCAGCCACGGCGCGGUGAAUACGUUCCCGGGCCUUGUACACACCGCCCGUCAAGCCAUGGGAGCCGGGGGUACCUGAAGUACGUAACCGCAAGGAUCGUCCUAGGGUAAAACUGGUGACUGGGGCUAAGUC